rnacentral:rRNA from 1 species
AAAGGAAUUGACGGGGGCCCGGCACAAGCGGUGGAGCAUGUGGUUAAUUCGAAGCAACGCGAAGAACCUUACCAGGUCUUGACAUCCCGAUGCUAUUCUAGAGAUAGAAGUUACUUCGGUACAUCGGUGACAGGUGGUGCAUGGUUGUCGUCAGCUCGUGUCGUGAGAUGUUGGGUUAAGUCCCGCAACGAGCGCAACCCCUAUUGUUAGUUGCCAUCAUUCAGUUGGGCACUCUAGCGAGACUGCCGGUAAUAAACCGGAGGAAGGUGGGGAUGACGUCAAAUCAUCAUGCCCCUUAUGACCUGGGCUACACACGUGCUACAAUGGUUGGUACAACGAGUUGCGAGUCGGUGACGGCGAGCUAAUCUCUUAAAGCCAAUCUCAGUUCGGAUUGUAGGCUGCAACUCGCCUACAUGAAGUCGGAAUCGCUAGUAAUCGCGGAUCAGCACGCCGCGGUGAAUACGUUCCCGGGCCUU